GGGGUUGUACUGGUUUCGACGGGCUCACUGAAAAUGGAGAAGCUGUUCGUGGUCGGACACCACGUUAAAAGUUCGAAAUUAAAAUUAAACGCUGAAGAUAAUUUAGCAUUAGCUGCCUAGUUGCAGCUUGUCGGUCCUGACG
rnacentral:tmRNA from 1 species